UGGGGAAUAUUGCGCAAUGGGCGAAAGCCUGACGCAGCAACGCCGCGUGAGUGAUGAAGGCCUUCGGGUCGUAAAGCUCUGUCGGAGGGAACGAAUGCUCCUGAAGUUAACAGCCUCAGGAGGUGACGGUACCCUCAAAGGAAGCACCGGCUAACUCUGUGCCAGCAGCCGCGGUAAUACAGAGGGUGCAAGCGUUGUUUGGAUUUACUGGGCGUAAAGCGUGCGUAGGUGGUUCGUUAAGUCUGAUGUGAAAGCCCUAGGCUCAACCUGGGAAUUGCAUUGGAUACUGGCGAGCUAGAGUGCGGUAGAGGAUGGUGGAAUUCCCGGUGUAGCAGUGAAAUGCGUAGAGAUCGGGAGGAACAUCUGUGGCGAAGGCGGCCACCUGGUUGGAUACUGACGCUGAGACGCGAAAGCGUGGGGAGCAAACAGGAUUAGAUACCCUUGUAGUCCCUGAGCGGGCUGGCAAGGCGCAU
rnacentral:rRNA from 1 species